rnacentral:rRNA from 1 species
GAAGGGGGCGAGCGUUGUCCGGAUUUAUUGGGCGUAAAGAGCUCGUAGGCGGUUUCGUAAGUCGGAUGUGAAAACUCCAGGCUCAACUUGGAGACGCCAUUCGAUACUGCGAUGACUUGAGUCCGGUAGGGGAGUGUGGAAUUCCUGGUGUAGCGGUGAAAUGCGCAGAUAUCAGGAGGAACACCGGCGGCGAAGGCGGCACUCUGGGCCGGUACUGACGCUGAGGAGCGAAAGCGUGGGUAGCAAACAGGAUUAGAUACCCUGGUAGUCCACGCCGUAAACGGUGGGCACUAGGUGUGGGAUUCACUCAACGGAUUCCGUGCCGCAGCUAACGCAUUAAGUGCCCCGCCUGGGGAGUACGGCCGCAAGGCUA